rnacentral:rRNA from 1 species
UACGAAGGGGACUAGCGUUGUUCGGAAUUACUGGGCGUAAAGCGCACGUAGGCGGCUUGGUAUGUCGGGUGUGAAAUCCCCGGGCUCAACCUGGGAACUGCAUCCGAAACUGCCUUGCUAGAGUAUGGGAGAGGGAAGUGGAAUUUCCGGUGUAGCGGUGAAAUGCGUAGAUAUCGGAAGGAACAUCAGUGGCGAAGGCGACUUCCUGGACCAAUACUGACGCUCAGGUGCGAAAAGCGUGGGGAGCAAACAGG